GACGAAGGAUGCAAGCGUUAUCCGGAUUCAUUGGGUUUAAAGGGUGCGUAGGCGGCCAGAUAAGUCAGUGGUGAAAUCCUGUUGCUUAACAACAGAACUGCCAUUGAUACUGUUUGGCUUGAGUAUAGUUGCUGUGGGCGGAAUAUGACAUGUAGUGGUGAAAUACAUAGAGAUGUCAUAGAACACCGAUUGCGAAGGCAGCUCACAAAAACUAUAACUGACGCUGAGGCACGAAAGUGCGGGGAUCAAACAGG
rnacentral:rRNA from 1 species